rnacentral:rRNA from 1 species
UACGUAGGGGGCAAGCGUUGUCCGGAUUUAUUGGGCGUAAAGAGCGUGUAGGCGGCCAGGUAGGUCCGUUGUGAAAACUCGAGGCUCAACCUCGAGACGUCGGCGGAAACCCUCUGGCUAGAGUCCGGAAGAGGAGAGUGGAAUUCCUGGUGUAGCGGUGAAAUGCGCAGAUAUCAGGAGGAACACCCGUGGCGAAGGCGGCUCUCUGGGACGGUACUGACGCUGAGACGCGAAAGCGUGGGGAGCGAACAGG